rnacentral:rRNA from 1 species
GCGUGAGUGAUGAAGGCCUUAGGGUUGUAAAGCUCUUUCGGCGGGGACGAUAAUGACGGUACCCGCAGAAGAAGCCCCGGCUAACUUCGUGCCAGCAGCCGCGGUAAUACGAAGGGGGCUAGCGUUGUUCGGAAUUACUGGGCGUAAAGGGCGCGUAGGCGGUUCGUUUAGUCAGGCGUGAAAGCCCCAGGCUCAACCUGGGAAUUGCGCUUGAUACUGGCGAGCUCGAGUCCGGGAGAGGAUGGCGGAAUUCCCAGUGUAGAGGUGAAAUUCGU